rnacentral:rRNA from 1 species
GACGAACGCUGGCGGCGUGCUUAACACAUGCAAGUCGAACGGAAAGGCCCUGCUUUUUUGGGGUGCUCGAGUGGCGAACGGGUGAGUAACACGUGAGUAACCUGCCCUUGACUUUGGUAUAACUUCAGGAAACUGGGGCUAAUACCGGAUAGGAGCUCCUGCUGCAUGGUGGGGGUUGGAAAGUUUCGGCGGUUGGGGAUGGACUCGCGGCUUAUCAGCUUGUUGGUGGGGUAGUGGCUUACCAAGGCUUUGACGGGUAGCCGGCCUGAGAGGGUGACCGGCCACAUUGGGACUGAGAUACGGCCCAGACUCCUACGGGAGGCAGCAGUGGGGAAUAUUGCACAAUGGGCGGAAGCCUGAUGCAGCAACGCCGCGUGCGGGAUGACGGCCUUCGGGUUGUAAACCGCUUUCGCCUGUGACGAAGCGUGAGUGACGGUAAUGGGUAAAGAAGCACCGGCUAACUACGUG